GAUGAAAGUAAAUUGGCAAGCACAAACACACCCUGUCCAUAGUGCCCAUUGUAUCUUUCAUAGAUCAGUACCUUCCAUUCUUCACUGAGAGAGGGUAAGCCUCCAACACACAAGCAAAGCAAGAAGUCGAAAAAAUAUGUGUAACAUUUAACUCUUGCUAAGAUUGCUGAGCUUGAUAAGCCAAUAUCAAAGAACAUAAUUC
rnacentral:misc_RNA from 1 species